CCUACGGGAGGCAGCAGUGGGGAAUAUUGGACAAUGGGGGCAACCCUGAUCCAGCCAUGCCGCGUGGGUGAAGAAGGCCUUCGGGUUGUAAAGCCCUUUUGUGGAAAGCCCGGUACCGUAAGAAUAAGCACCGGCUAACUUCGUGCCAGCAGCCGCGGUAAUACGAAGGGUGCAAGCGUUACUCGGAAUUACUGGGCGUAAAGCGUGCGUAGGUGGUGAGUUAAGUCUGAUGUGAAAUCCCCGGGCUCAACCUGGGAAUGGCAUUGGAUACUGGCUCGCUAGAGUGCGGUAGAGGGUGGUGGAAUUCCCGGUGUAGCAGUGAAAUGCGUAGAGAUCGGGAGGAACAUCUGUGGCGAAGGCGGCCACCUGGACCAAACUGACACUGAGGCACGAAAGCGUGGGGAGCAAACAGGAUUAGAUACCCUUGUAGUC
rnacentral:rRNA from 1 species